UUCCGGUUGAUCCUGCCGGAGGUUACUGCUAUCGAGGUUCGACUAAGCCAUGCGAGUCGAAUGUAGCAAUACAUGGCGAACUGCUCAGUAACACGUGGACAACCUGCCCUUAGGUUGGGUAUAAACCCGGGAAACUGGGUAUAAUACCCGAUAGGUCUCGAUUGCUGGAAUGCAUCGAGAUUUAAAGCUCCGGCGCCUAAGGAUGGGUCUGCGGCCUAUCAGGUAGUAGUGGGUGUAGCGUACCUACUAGCCUACGACGGGUACGGGUUGUGAGAGCAAGAGCCCGGAGAUGGAUUCUGAGACACGAAUCCAGGCCCUACGGGGUGCAGCAGGCGCGAAAACUUUACAAUGCUGGCAACAGCGAUAAGGGAACCUCGAGUGCCAGGUUACAAAUCUGGCUGUCGAGAUGCCUAAAAAGCAUUUCAUAGCAAGGGCCGGGCAAGACCGGUGCCAGCCGCCGCGGUAACACCGGCGGCUCGAGUGGUAACCGUUAUUAUUGGGUCUAAAGGGUCUGUAGCCGGCCGGAUAAGUCUCUUGGGAAAUCUGGCAGCUCAACUGUCAGGCUAUCAGGAGAUACUGUCUGGCUCGAGGCCGGGAGAGGUGAGAGGUACUUCAGGGGUAGGGGUGAAAUC
rnacentral:rRNA from 1 species